rnacentral:tRNA from 3 species
GGAGUAUUAGCUCAGCUGGGAGAGCAAUUGCCUUACAAGCAAUAGGUCGGCGGUUCAAGUCCGUCAUACUCCACCA